rnacentral:rRNA from 1 species
AGGAUAAACGCUGGCGGCGUGCCUAACACAUGCAAGUCGAACGUCUCUUCUUUCGGGAAGAGGAGUGGCGGACGGGUGAGGAACACGUGGGAACCUGCCCUCCAGUGAGGAAUACCGGCGAGAAAUCGCCGACAGGACCGCAUAGCCCUCUCUGGUGAGAGCCAGAGAAGGAAAGCUUCGCAAGAGGCGCUGGAGGAGGGGCCUGCGUCCGAUUAGCUAGUUGGUGGGGUAAGAGCCUACCAAGGCGUCGAUCGGUAGCUGGUCUGAGAGGACGAUCAGCCACACUGGGAUUGAGAACGGCCCAGACUCCUACGGGGGGCAGCAGUGAGGAAUUUUCGGCAAUGGGGGAAACCCUGACCGAGCAACGCCGCGUGCAGGAAGACGGCCUUCGGGUUGUAAACUGCUUUUCUUUGGGACGAGUAAGGACGGUACCAGAGGAAUCAGCCCGGCUCACUACGUGCCAGCAGCCGC